rnacentral:tRNA from 1 species
UCCCAGUUGGCUCAGUGGUAAAGGACCUGUCUGCCAAGCAGGAGAUGCAGGUUUGAUCCCUGUGUCAGGAA